CCAGCAUACUUGGGAAGUUGUCGCCAGUUCCAUGAGCCAUAUUUAGUAAUAUAAGCUGCUAAUUUCUUAUCUUCUUCAAGUGUCCAAGUCCCUUUCUUCCUUCCAUUUUCGUCGUAGCAAGGUGUUCUCACCAUCGCUUAAUUAAUUCCGAUAAAUCUCAACAAUAUUCUUUGAAAGAGUUAUUUAUAACUAAUAUAUAUAAG